GGGUGCGAUCAUACCAGCACUAAAGCACCGGAUCCCAUCAGAACUCCGCAGUUAAGCGUGCUUGGGCGAGAGUAGUACUGGGAUGGGUGACCUCCUGGGAAGUCCUCGUGUUGCACCCC
rfam:Zostera marina strain Finnish scaffold_584, whole genome shotgun sequence.